GGACAGUGAUGAAAAUCACGAACAAGACACCAUCUUUCGGGACUGAUUGGUGCGCUCUGUGUGCCAUGUUGUGAAAGUCUGCAAUUCAGAUGUUC
rfam:Triticum urartu cultivar G1812 contig856434, whole genome shotgun sequence.